CCCAAAUGUUUAAAGGUUUUGCUAUUUUUUUCAAAGUCAUUGGAUUUUUUGUUGGCGGAUUCCACGCUGUCAAGUUAGGAAUGUGGUAUUAGAUGAUUGGCAAUGACUGGGAUAGUAGACUUGGGGUGUAUGUAUUUAAUGCACCAAAAUUUUUGUCAAAAAGACCAAAAAAAAUGAAAAAAAAUAAUAAUAAAUGAAUGUUUACAAUAUCUUGUCUCGAGUUAUGGAAUUAGGUCUUUAAUCAACAAAAUCAUACAUUGCAAAAAGGAAAAUGGGUAAAUUUAAUAGGCUGGAAAUUCAUGUAGCAAGAAUGAAACAAUCAACAAAGAAAAAGAUAGGAAAAUGAAUGUGAAUACGUCUCAUGAAAGGCAUUUUUUACUUAUCUAAUAAUAGGGCCCAUUAAAGGUGUGCUUUUGCGCGCAAAUUGCCUCAGGCCCUCAGCCAUCGCCUGAAAACAAACAAUAGUUUAAGCAAAAAUUAAAAAAAAAAAAAAAAUCACCGCAAAAAUUUAGAAAACUAAGGAUACAAUUACAGUUUGUUUCAGUUGCGUGCUUUUCCAAAAGAUUCUGGUUCUGGGUAUCUUUGUCACAUUCCUACUAAGGUUCUGUUUCUCUAUUUUUUUUAUUAUAUAUUAAUUAUGAAAUCCAUAGCUUCUUCAUUUCUACACUAAAUUUUCGCUCUUUAUUUCCUUUUGGGUCUUAAGAAAAGAGAAAAUCUGAUCUUUAUAGCUUUAUAUACUCCAUAAGUUGAACGCAUAAAUUGAUUCUAUAAUUUGAUUUGCAUAAGUUGAACUCAUGUCAUAUUUUUGAAAAAUCACUUUGGGUUUUUCAUUUUUAACUCUCAUUGCUGUUCAUUAGCUGUAAAGUGAAGAAUCAAAAAAAAAAAAAUUUUGUUGGGGGGAGGGGGCAGAUUACAUUAAAAUUUCCCUUGCUUUUUAAAUGCUGCAUUUGUGGGGGUUUAAGGAGGAUUCCAAGUUAAGGUAAUUCCCAUAACGUUGACGGAUUCUCUUUUCGUUUGUCAGCUAUUACUAUCUUCUUCCUUUAUUUAAAAUCAUUUACCUUGUUGGACAUUAGGGUGCUAUUCUCUUUACUCUUGAUAUAUGCAAUUAUAGAUAUUCUGUGAUUGUGAUGCGAUAACAUUAUGGCCUUCAGGGAACAGUAUGGAUGUAAAAUACUCUUUGUAACUCUUAUAGUUUUUAUAUUGUGCUUUUAAAGUCAAAUUAGUCAUCAAUAGUUCAAUGCUUAUAUGAAUUUAUGUAUGUAUAAAACCAUAACUGUUUUAUAUUAAGGCAUGUAUGCAUGUCCACAAAUUGUUGGAUGUUAAGUUCAAGGAAAGUUAGAAUUGGCUUUUGCAAUUUUCCAGACAGGUAGAGUUGGGAUUGUGUGAGGAGAACUCUCGACAUGGACCAUUUUGGAGUGCAACUUUGGUGGAAAUCAAAGUAACAAACUAGAAUUCACUAACGAAGAGAAUUAUAUGUGGAGAAGUUUUUUGAUUAUUCCUUAUUAUAACUAUUGUGUUUCUGGUAUUAGUUCAUUAAUUUGCGUUGUUGAAGUAAAGUGUGAUACUUUUCUUUAAGUUCAAUAUUCUUAAGGAUAUGAUAAAUGAACAAACCAGUGGUGGUGAUGGAACAGCAUCAGCUAACAUCAGCAAUGGAAAUCAGUGAGGCCAUAGAAUUAGGGGCUUUUUGAUGGCUUGAACAAUUUUUAGAAUGAUUGUCAACAUUAUGUUAUUGGGAUUUUGUACUUGAAUGUCGUUGAGCUCCGAGUUGACAUCACAAGUGAUUGAAACUCUUUAACAUUAGUAGAUUUGUUCUACUUCCAAUUACCUUUUUCCGUAUAGAAAAGUUAUGUUUUUUACAGGAUCCUUUGCUAGUUACAUAAACUAACAACUAAACUAUAGAACUGAGAUGUUUAUGCUUAGCUUAUUGUUGGAAAUCAAUCUAUUGUGAUGCCGAUGGUGUGUAUCAGUACAAAACCCACACAAGCUAAGUGAGAGUAUUGGGCAGCAAAGGCCAAACCUGUUGAUAAUGUAUUUGUUACUAGGUAUACCAACUCAUAGCAAUGUUCUUAGAGGUUAAGUUCCAAAAUAUAUAUUGCUUUUCAUGCAGAUAUGCAUUUUGAAACAUUAGUUUUUCAUCCUUUUUAUUCAAUUUUUGUGCUCUAUAAAAUGCAUGCUUGUAGUUACUGGUUUAGCUUUUAGUACAACCAUCAUAAAUUAAUGAUCCACUUUGGCAGUGAGUUCAUUGGCAAUGUGGUAUGCUUUUUCUUUUAGAUACUUUUUUUGACAAGCAAUGCUGUAUUCAUUUAUCACAAAAAAAGAUUUCAAGUUCUAGAUAGAUUUCUUUGCAAAUCUCUUUUUCUGGAAAAUGUUUUAGGUGCUACAUAGAGCAUCUUAUUUUGAUUUUCUAAGUAGUAUAUGCUGAAGUUAGGUCUUUGAUUUCGGAAAUUUUACUUGUAGUGCUCUAAUUAGAAAAUUUUAAACCUUAAAUUGGAAUCCUAGAUCAAGUGAACUAAUUAUAGAGGAUCAUGCUUUCAUCAUAAUCUACUUUCCUGCUUGUUGGAGUCUGCCAACGUACAAUCUGGGCCAACUGAUCAGAGAUAAGGAUGGAAGGGGAUGGUUAAUGGAGAUGAGAUAGGAAGAGGAUCUGCCUUGUGGCAAGCUAUGGUCUUGAUUUGUUUGGCUGUGAGUGAGAAUGUUGCAAUGCAAUUCCAGAAAUGAGUAUGCUGAAUCUAUUGUCAGUAACUUGCCUAAGCUUUUUUGGUAAGGACUGUGGUUACCAGAUAUGGUGUCAUAGCCGAUGGAAAUGCCCAACCUAGUCCAUAUAGAUUUUUGCUACUGUAGUUUGGUGGCAUUGAAGAAGCUGACUUUGGGGUUGAAUAUCAAUGACCUAGUGACUAGAGGAUAGUAGACAUACAACCAGAAGAAUGAGUUUUGUUCAUAAGCAUUCAAAAUAAUAUGAUAGCUUGUCUUGGCAGAAUAUAUGGCUGCAACUUAGUGGAAAAUGAGAUACACACUGCUUAUCCCAGUCUGUAAGAUCACUUUAAAACCAUCAAAGAGAUGGACCAAACUUAAUAAUACUUAGUGGAGAUGGCUGUAUGAAAUACUUUGAGAACUUUGGUUACAAGGGAAAUUUGAGAAAACUUUGACAAGGGGAAACCAAAAUAACAUUGCUACUUUAUAAAAUUCAUUGUACACUGAAUGGAAAAUUGGCACUUAAGGGACUUUGCAGUUGCAACAAAUAAUUGAAAUGAGAUAUGUGGAUGGACCAAAUUUAAGAAUCCAUCAUCAGGUUUCUUCAUUCUUGUUGCUAGUUAAACUGCCAAAAGAAUCCUUUAGGCUAAGCCAAUUCUAGAAUUACUUUGGUGUAUGUGGUAGUUUAGUAGCAUUAAUUGCUUUUAAUGUGGCAUAGCUUUUGAGUACAUCUUCAAGGCAGAUUAGACACAUCAUUUACUUCAUAAGAACAAGCUUCUCAUGUGCUACGUUACUGUAUGCUCCCAAAUAAUAUCUUCUACAAGAAAAAUAUAAUACUAAGUAUCAUACUAUAUGGAGCAAAAGUGAAUUAUAGAUAUUCAAGCAAGGGAUAAUGUUUUGGAGGAUUUUGCAAGAUUCCAAUUUACUGGUACAUGGAUACAAUGAAGUAACGUUGCUAGUGAAUUAGGAAUCUGAAUAAAGCUCUACUUAGGAAGAUAUAAGUUAUGGAACAUUCAUUCUUAAGAAGCCUAUUAUACCUUAGAUAUUAUUGUUCUUUUUGGGAACUAUCUGCAACUUUAAUCCUAGAUGGCAUGAAGAUAAUUUGUGGCAAUGCUUUUGGCUUGAGAGAUGUUUUUGAUUGUGAGUGUCUAGUAUCUAGUAACCUUACAUACCUUCUUCAGUUAGGAAUCUCACUUCCACUUUAUAAAAAGUGGUAUACAAGAUUCUCAAUUAAUUAAAGAUCAUAUUAAUUUGUUAUUUUGAAGAGAAAUAUAUUUACCAAAAAAAUCGUAAAUCACAGACUUACUACAAAUCUUGUAAGCUGGUUUCAUGUAAGAUAUUAAAGAUGUUUAGGUAUCCCAUUCCCAAACAUCAUUUAUCUAGGAAUAGGAUGCACAAAAAUAAUUUUCAAUAUCCCAAACAAACAUGCCUUUUUCUUUAUUUAACAAAAAUAAUUCAAUACUUGGGUACUUUCUAUAUAUGCAACAGAUUCUGUUUCAUAAAAAAAGAAAAAAAAUCUGACUUAUAUUGAACUAGGUUCAAUCUAGUGCUCUUUCCUAAGAACCAAAAGGCUAUUUUUUAGCAUGGGGUACAGAAAUGCAAUAGACAGGCUUUUUGCUUUUGUGCUACAAGACUUAUUGAUGUUGAAUGGUGAUGAGUUGAAUUUAAUAUGCAAGUUUGAGAAAGAUCUAUGCUGUCAUUCAUGUCCAUGUCAUAGUACAAUUUCUGUCUCACAUGAUUUCUUUAACUUUGAGAUGUUUUGCUUGAGGUGCUUUGCUGAACAUCAGCCAACAUUAACUGAUGUAGAAAAUUAUUGUAUAAAUUUGAAUGCUAAGGUGCAGCUGUAGCAAGACCAAGAUAGAAAGAGGUUAACCAAUUUAGCCCUUAGAAAGUGAAUUCCUGGAAGAGCCAUUGGUUGGCAAGUAUUUCCACAAAAGUAGACCUGGAACUUAUUUUCUUGGCAUAGUUGACUGCAGUGUCAGAGGAGUAUCAGUCUCAAAAACUGGCAGAUAUCUGUUGAACUGCUAUUACCUAAACUUAGUAGCUUAAAUGCAGAAGUGCAUGAAAUUUAUAAAAGCAUUGGCUGCUCCUGGUUAAUUAUAGGGAUUAUAUCGGCCUCAAAAUAAACAAUGAGGAUUGAGGAAUCUAUGUGUAAAUGAGGCGAAGGAGAAGCAAUGAUGCUGAAUGUAUGGCAGACCAGAAAUUGAUAUUUUGAGGGCCCGAGGAUCAGGUUGGAGCUUGUGAAAAAAUAAGCUUGAGUAGGGACUGAAUUUUUAGCUAUCGAACAAUGACCUCCACAAAUCUUUCCACUUUACAUGGCUGAACUUUGUUCUUGCAUAUCUUUUCCUUUGUGAAAAGCGCAAAGUGCAAUCUGCUUUUUCUAUAAGGUUCUACUGUCAGUGCACACUUCACUUCCGAAUUUUACCCUUGCUCUUUUCUAUUUUUAGCAUGUGUGAACACAUGGGAGAAAUGUCUCACCUGUUCAAGAGCUGAAGAGUAUUUAUUGUUGGUUGAGAGGCUGUAACAUUAAUCCAACAUAGAAAAAUCUGUGAAAAUUUAAUUGACCUACUAAGUUUUGCUACUUUUCUUAGUGCAUGCUGUGAUUCAACUUGUGUUUAUUUGAAGGAUAUGAUAACGAAAAUUUUAGUAGUAUUAGGACAUCCACUUCAUAUUUUUGUUGAUGACAGAUAUUUUGACAUAUAUUUAACCAUGUGGAUAUCUUUGGUGGCAAGAUAUUUGUGAACAAAUAAAGCUGAAGCUAAAGCCAAUGCUUGCUUAGUAGAGAAAUUGACAAAAGAUGCACAACUUCAACCGACAGAACCGUAGCCUGCUCAAGAAAUGGAUAUUUCAAACCUCUUGGAUCAAGGAGGGCCGCAACUUUAAAGUAAAAAGGCUCAACAAGGGCUGAUGAUAUUCACAGAAUGCAACAGGUUACGUCCAAUCCGGUGGGGGAAUAUAUAUGGCUGGACUUAUAUGAUAUUGCCU